UGUUUACCAAAAACAUCACCUCUAGCAUUUCCAGUAUUAGAGGCACUGCCUGCCCAGUGACAUCAGUUAAACGGCCGCGGUAUCCUGACCGUGCAAAGGUAGCAUAAUCAUUUGUUCCUUAAAUAGGGACUUGUAUGAAUGGCCACACGAGGGCUUUACUGUCUCUUACUUCCAAUCCGUGAAAUUGACCUUCCCGUGAAGAGGCGGGAAUAUGACAAUAAGACGAGAAGACCCUAUGGAGCUUUAAUUAACCGACCCAAAGAGAUCUUGAUAAUCAACCGACAGGGAUAACAUACCUCUACCAUGGGCCGACAAUUUAGGUUGGGGUGACCUCGGAGAAUAAAACAACCUCCGAGUGAUUUAAAUCUAGACUAACUAGUCGAAAGUACUACAUCACUUAUUGAUCCAAAAACUUGAUCAACGGAAACAAGUUACCCUAGGARAWAAMAGCCSCAAUYYUAUUUUAGAGUCCAUAUCGACAAUAGGAUUGCGCUGUUAUCCCUAGGGUAACUUGUUCCGUUGAUCAAGUUUUUGGAUCAAUAAGUGAUGUAG
rnacentral:rRNA from 1 species